AUGGUCUCAAUCUCCUAACCUCGUGAUCCACCCGCCUCGGCCUCCGAAAGUGCUGGGAUUACAAGCGUGAACCACCGUGCCCAGCCUAGAUUCAUUUCUUUAAGAAUAUUAUUUUUAAAAAGGAUGUAAUAAGUUUAUAGACAUAAAAUUGAAUGUGAUAUCACUCAUAUUUCCUUUUCUGGUUUUUAGGAAAAGAAACAGCACACUCAAAUAGUUUAAGCAUAUAGAUUUAUUAGGGGUUACAGAUAACUUAAAAUUUGAUGGAAAGGUGAAGGCAGAUUUUCAACUGAACUUCAGGAAUGGCUCUCAGAACCAAACUGCAAAGAACCAAACUGCAAACUGGCUCCCUAAGGGUGAAACUGCCAGAAAUUUGAAAACACUGAAUCAGAAUGUUUGACUCAGAUGAAAACGUAUUACAAUACAAUUUCAUUAUGGCUAUGAUAUGAGAAGGAAACACAAUCCACUUUCAGACAGAAUACUCCAAGAAAGGCCAUUCUUCUGUUGCGAUCAGCUCUGGGCUUCCUGUCACCACCCAGCUUGCCCCUAUCUGUUUGGGACUGCCUAAUCAGCCAGAAGACCACAAAAAAAGGGCACUCAUCCUUUGUCACCUGGAACAGGACAGAUGUGAAGCACUUUCAACAACUUGUGCUUGAGGCCUGGGAUUCCGUAGAGCAUGUUCCAGUGUACCAGACGAUUCAAGUCCCUGGCAGCCUGCUUUCUAUCCAAAGCUGGGCCACCUCUCUUGGGACCACCAGGACAUUGAAUUGCUUUCCCAUUCCUGUGGACUUCUGAAAUGGGCCCACCUGAGACAGGAACCCAGAGUGCAUAGCACCUUUAGGCCGGGCACAGAACCACCCACCUAGGAACCUAUGACUGCAACCCAGGAGGAGACACAGAUACCCCCAGAGAUGCCCCCAAGUCACAGCCUCCCUUGAGCCCUGCCAAUGCACUCCCUGACUGCCUCACUUGGCUGGAUCACCCUGCUCCAGGAACAGACAACCGGAGCCUGAGAAAUCAGAUGAUGGAGACCUACCAAGCAUCACCCUCCUCCUGCCUCCCAACAGCCACCACCCAGUGUUCCAAGUCUUGUUGGCAGUAGAGCCCUGGAGCAGUGGCUGAGUUGAUGCAAGGCUGCCUCUGCCACCUGCCUUUGGCCUCCUUGAGAUUUCUCUCACUGAGACUCUUCAAUGGCUGAUCCUGUGCCAAAAGGCAUUGUUACCAUGACACCUCUAGGUUUGCUCAAACACAAUGGUAGAGAUCGUGCCUGCAGAGGACUUUGUACAUGUGUUUUUGCCCACGUGAUAAAACUGUGCAAAAAUGCAAAAUUCUUACCCAUGCAUGUUUCUGGUUUGGCUGCUGAGGAAGGACAGGGAGCAGAGGAGCUGGUGGCCGGGGGCUGGGCCAGGACAGGUGCAUGGCCCUUGGUGCAAUAGGGAGGAGUCCAGCAUGAACACAACUUUUAUUUGUAUAGAGGUGGCUGGGUGUUUUAAAGGGAGAUGGAGGGAUUGGGAGGGGUGUGAGUGAGGAAGACCUGAGUAGAAACAGGAAAGUGAAAAAUUAUAGAAAGUGGAAAGGGGGGAUUGGUCCAUAUGAACUGAGUCUCCUAACUGGGGCUAAACAAAGCGAGGCUCCUGCCCUCCCACAGAGGCUGGGAGACAGGAGCCCUAUUUUCAGGUCUUGCCUGGAACACACAGUAUAUUCUUUUUGCAGCCUUGAUCUUUCUCAGUCAGGCAUCUAAAGGAGGGCUAGGGUCAUCCCAGAGUUGUGGCCUGGAGCUGUUAGACACUGUGUUAGUGUUUUUCCAGUCUUUAUAGACCAAGGUUGAAGCUUAGUAAAGAGUACUCCCAGGAACCUGUCUAGAGAUUGCUCAAGGAGAUAAUCUUUGUUAAUGUCAACUAAAGAAAAAAAAUCAAGCUUUUAAAGAUUUAAAUUUGGUUUUAUUUAGAAGUCUUUCUGAGGACUACAGACUGAGGACUUAUAGCCCUGGAGGAGUCUUUUAGAGAGAUUUUGCAGACUGCUUAGUAACACCGUUUCUGUUCAUAACUUAUAUACAGGUCAUGGAGGUUUCAGUAUGCCUUCAGAACUUACAUCAAACUUGCUCAGAUUUUGCAUUAAAGCAGAAUCACAUCAAUGCUUGGGUGCAAGGGUACAUCUGGUUAUAGAUUAUAGAGCAUAAUCAUUAACCCUGUCACAUAUUAUCUGUAGGAAAAUAUGUGUCACAUAUUAUGUGCAAGGACUGAGUUCAUUUAUAUGUUUUUUUUUUUUUUGAGAUGGAGUUUUGCUCUUGUCGCCCAGGCAGGAGUGCAGUGGCGUGAUCUUGGCUCACUGCAACCUCUGCCUCCCGGGUUCAAGCGUUUCUCCUGCCUCAGCCUCCCGUGUAGCUGGGAUUACAGGCACCCGCCACUACGCCCAGCUAAAUUUUGUAUUUUUGUUAGAGAUGGGGUUUCACUAUGUUGGCCAGGCUGGCCUUGAACUCCUGACCUCAGGUGAUCCACCUGUCUUGACCUCUCAAAGUGCUGGGAUUACGUGCAUGAGCCAUUGAGCCUGGCCCAUUUAUCUUUUAAGGAACAUAGUGACUCAGACAGGAGAUGUGGGGGGCAAUGUGCUGUAUCCUGCCUGUUUUUGUUGUUGUUGCUGUUUGUUUGUUUGUUUGGACAAACUCUCACUCUGUCAC